UUAAUUGAAGAGUUUGAUCAUGGCUCAGAUUGAACGCUGGCGGCAGGCCUAACACAUGCAAGUCGAGCGGAAACGACAACAUUGACCCUUCGGGUGAUUURUUGGGCGUCGAGCGGCGGACGGGUGAGUAAUGCCUGGGAAAUUGCCCUGAUGUGGGGGAUAACUAUUGGAAACGAUAGCUAAUACCGCAUAAYGUCUACGGACCAAAGAGGGGGACCUUCGGGCCUCUCGCUUCAGGAUAUGCCCAGGUGGGAUUAGCUAGUUGGUGAGGUAAUGGCUCACCAAGGCGACGAUCCCUAGCUGGUCUGAGAGGAUGAUCAGCCACACUGGAACUGAGACACGGUCCAGACUCCUACGGGAGGCAGCAGUGGGGAAUAUUGCACAAUGGGCGCAAGCCUGAUGCAGCCAUGCCGCGUGUAUGAAGAAGGCCUUCGGGUUGUAAAGUACUUUCAGUYGUGAGGAAGAUAGUGUAGUUAAUAGCUGCAUUGUUUG
rnacentral:rRNA from 1 species